AUGAUCUGGAUUCAACCGGAAGAUCCUAAACAGCUCACACGUAUAUUCAGUAGCCUUAGAGAUGUUUAUAUCUACAAUGUCUUUGCUGAGUGUGAUUUGAAUUGGACAUUCUUUAUCCUUAAAGCUGCACCUUCACUGAAGAACUUCUAUUUAUCUCGACACUCUUGUGAACCCAACAAGUUUGAGGAUAUUGCCAAGAAGACCGACUUGGUGUGGGAAACCUCCAGUUUCAAGCAUUUGAACUUGAAGCUGCUGUUCAUGAAAGGGUUUUCGGAGGAUGAGAAGGUGAUGAACUAUAUAAGACUUGUCAUGAAAAGAUCUAUGGGCUUGAAGAGAAUCGAACUGCAUGAUAAAGACCCAUGUGAGGAGUGCAAAGCCAUAUCCCCCGAGUGUUUAAGGUUUCCUGUGGAUGAAUCUAGCAAGCGUCGGAUUAAGGAGCAACUCACAUAUGGAUUCUCCUUAGAUGUGGAGAUAAUAAUGGGAUGA
rnacentral:rRNA from 1 species